GGCAACUCCCUUCUCGCCUGCUCUGCCGGUACGUCCGAUUCUGUGGGUGUGUGUGUCUAUGUCCCGAGCCACAUCGUAAUUGAUCACAGUCUUAAUGGAAGGAAUAUCCAACCCACGAGCUGCUACAUCAGUAGCUACCAAUAUCGGGAUCCCCUUUUUCUUAAAUUCUGAAAUGACUUUAUUCCUCUCGCUCUGGUCCAUGUCACCAUGAAGGAGCCCCAGGUUAUGGUCCUCCUGCUUGAGGUUAUUAGCCAGCUCUUCAGCAUUUGCCUUCUUAGUGACAAACAGGAGAACACUCCCAGAAGAUGUGAACUCCACAAGGCGCCGUGUCAGCCAGUUCCACUUGCUGGGGCCAGAGGGGAAAAUCUCCACUAUUUGAGUAACAUCUUCAUUUGCCUCUCCAAUGUCUCCC
rnacentral:lncRNA from 1 species